AUUUAAAUAAUAUAAAUUAUUAUAAUUGAUUUCCAAUCAAUAAAUCUAAAAAAUUAGUUUAAAUA
rnacentral:tRNA from 1 species